rnacentral:ncRNA from 1 species
UAAGGGGUCCCUUAGUUUGAUUCAUAUUCUGAGAAAAAACUUUAUUUCUUAAAAGGAUUUAAUCCUUUACCUCUCAACGAAAGAUUUGAGGAAUAAUAUACAUUCUCGUGAUUUGGAUCCAAGGGCCAAUUAAAUUAUAUUUAUAUAUAAAUAUAAUUUUUAAGAACACCAACGAUGAAAGCACUCUGCUGGGCCGACACUGACACUAAGAGACGAAAGCUAGGGGAGCGAAUGGGAUUAGAUACUCCAGUAGUCCUAGUCGUAAACGAUGGAUACUAGACGCUGGCGUAUCGACUGGUGUAGUGCUGUAGCUAACGCGUUAAGUAUCCC